GCUCGCCCUGAUCAUCUCCACACCUGUUCUUUUUCUACUCUAAUUUUCUCUGCUGUUCUCUCAGCUCUUUGCCAGAUUAUUGUGUAUUCUCUAGCAUGUAACUCAGCUCUUUAUGCUUACUAGACUUCAUUAGAUGUUUUUCCGUAUUGUUAGUCACAGUCUUAGUCUUGUCUGUAUUAUCUAGUCGUGUCAGCGGCGCAAAAAUAGGGUAUGCAGUAUAUGCAGUGCAUAGGGGUGCUGCAUGGAGUGGGAUAACAAGAAAUUGUUCCUGCAAGCUGAGCUUCUCUGGCAGCUUCCUCUCUCCACCAAGCAGCAAGGCCGGUGUAGUGCCUGAUCGUGCCCUGUGAGCCUAUCUACGUGUGCUGUGUGGUCCUGUCUGGCUCUCACUGUGUUAGUUGUUAGAGGAGAUGCAGAAGAAGGGCCUGGUUGUAAUGAACACACCUCCAGUUCUCCCGGCCCCCCCGCUGCCUGCGCCCUCUCCAGCUACAUCUGCUCCUCAAAGCCCUGGAGAAGGUGCGGACGAGCCAGACGAGGAGCCAGACCGCGAGCCAUCGUCUGAGGAGAGCUCUGGAGAGUUCUAUCAGAGGUAAAGUUUCACAUCAUCAUUCUCAGAUAACAUGUGCAGCGAUUGGACAUGAUUUCUCUUGAACAUAUUCACAAUCAUUUGAGCACCUGGUUUAUUUUCUUUCAGCACUGAGGGACCGAGGUGGACCGAUGAAGUCAGGGUGGAGAUGUCAAAAAAGGGCCUGUACAAGAAACACUCCAUCGAUCACCCCCUCCUUCGGGGAUUUAAUCGAUAUUUGCGUGUUGACUUGGGCAACAAAAAGAGCAAACAAGAGGUAAGUGAAAGAAAAGAUACCUUUAAGUGUCACCCACACACUCACGCUUUCACACAGAAAAAUAAAGAAAUAAAUGUGAAGACAAAUGCUCUUCUGAACUGUGUGCUGCGGUCACAUGUUAACCUGUGUUAUAUUCAGCCCUGCAGAUUUUAAUGUGAAAUGUAUACUUACAGGUGGAAGAAGUCUCCAGGUUCAUGUAUUACGUGGACCCCAGUGAGCCGAACCUGAAUUUUGUGCGGGAGGUGGAGAAAGUGCGAGAGUACUUCAAUACACUGACCCAGACAAAGCUCUCGAAGCAGACGGUGCUGAACUACUGGAAGAGUCUCAAGAGGUUCAUGAGGUACAUUGUUACCAGCACCAGCAUCCGUGUCAAAGAUCCCAGCCUGUACAACGACUGCAAGAGCUUCACUGAUCCUCUGGAUGGCAUACGGGCUGGGAUGUCUAAGAAGGUCAACAAGGAGCAGACACAAAAAAGGUCAGUUUUUUUUUUUUUUACUCUUUUUUUUUUUUUUUUUUAUCUAUUUAAUGGAAAGCACAGGUGAGUUCAAGUUCAACAUUACUAUUUUUUUUUUUUCCCUCAGGUUCCGCGGCUACGGCAAGGAAAAAUUUCCGGCUGACUGCAUCACAAUCUUGGAUGCUGCUUAUACGGAUUUCCUGGCUGUCAUGGGCAAACUUCAGGGUCCAGGAGCCAUUUCAGGGGAGGAACUCAGCAAAAACGAACGUCUGCUUGUCCUCUAUUAUCUUGAGGCCAUAAUUAUGCUUAAACUUCUACAACGCCCAGGGGUUGUUACGAAUAUGACCGUAAGUGUAUUUUAGUAACAACAGCAUCUUUUAUUUUCCUUUACCCAUAUGCCUCCUGAUCUUGUGCUUCACAGAUGCGUGUACCUUUUGAGUGUUUGUGACGCCUGUCAUUGAAAGCACACAACUGUCUGUUUUCAGGUUGAGGAAUGGAAGGGGAGAACCCGGCAUCCAAACGGAGCUUCCGUGGCGGUGAAGGAGCAUAAAACGGCCGCGUCGCAAAUAGCAGAAGUACCGCUGACUGAUGACCAAGAACAUUGGUUUGGCCUGUACUUCGAUGAGAUUCGGCCGGUGAUGUUACAAGGUAAUAAGUCAGUGGACAAUGCAGCAGCAGAGCAGAGUUUUUUUGUUUCAAGUACUGGAAGGCCAAUUUAUAACCCCUGCAACGACUUGAAAAGAUUCCAUGCCAAAUACAACAUUCCCAGGGUGACCAGCAGCGACGCUCGGACAGCCUUUGAGACGGCUGCUAAAAAUCUGCCGGAGGUGCAGAGGAAUGCGGUGGCACGUCUCUUGGGACACACGCCGGAAACAGCAGAGAAGCAUUACCGGAUGAAAACUCCGGCAGAUGCAUUCCUGGCCAAGGUUGUGGUCGAUGAGCUCACUGCAAAAACACGAGGUGCGUCUAGUGGGGCUUCUGGCCAAGAGAAAAGGAUGGAUGAACAGACGGCGUUUGACUUGCUGGUUCAGUCCUGCCCAGUGACUCUUGACGGGCCUCCUCCGAAAAGGGCACGCAGACACGAACUGUGCGCUGAACACGAGAGGCACUGCUACGACCGCUGGCGCAGCGAGCAGCUCAAGCUGCGUGAACAGCGUGUCCUUGAAUAUUUCGGUCGGUGUCAGCUGUCUGAGUCACAAGUGGAGGCCUGGGUGGAGAAACAAGGAUGGACGUCUAACGUCCCACAGGCUUCCCUAAUACUCAAGAAAUACUCCAAGUAGCCUUGAACAGCUCCCCUGCGGCUCUGUGGGUUACAAAAAUAAAUGUGAGCGGGCUACUUCCAAGCCACAUUAUUUUUGUGCCUACUUUUCAGCCACAAAACACCACCUCUCUUGCUCUCCAAGUUGCCCUGAAUGACUCUGUCUCUUUUUUUAGUACUUUACUCAAAGAUAUGUGAGCGGGCUAAUUUCCAAGCCACAUAUCUCUUCUCUUUGUCUACUUUUUUGUUUUCAGCCACAAAACACCACCUCUCUUGCUCUCCAAGUUGCCCUGAAUGACUCUGUCUCUUUUUUUAGUACUUUACUCAAAGAUAUGUGAGCGGGCUAAUUUCCAAGCCACAUAUCUCUUCUCCUUGCCUACUUUUUUGUUUUCAGCCACAAAAAAGUAAAAAAAGACCACCAAUACAGAUUUUUUUUUCUUUCAAUAUUCAUAGGCAACUGGAAGUGCACCAGCUACAAAUAACCAAACAUCAGCAGCUCACUCGAGGACCACUACAUGAGGACUCCAGAGAAGAAGAAGAAGAAGACGAAGACGAAGAAGAAGGAGGAGGAGGAUUUGACAGAGGAAGGCGCACGCUGGAUCCAUACGCUGCAUCUCAUUUCGGAGACUGCGUCCUACGGAGGUCGCAUUUGAAGGCUGCAUACGUCAUCAAGGAUGUCUUAUUUAAGAAAAGUAAACGUAAUUAAACAAACUGUUAUUCCUCGUGAGACGUAAAAUACUAUAAUUUCUUUCUUACUUUGCAAUCUAACAGUUAAUUUUUUUUCAAAUGAGACCGCCUCGAUGACAUAUGCAGCCUUCAAAAGUGACCUCCGGAGGACACAGCCUUCAAAACAAGACAGCUAUAAUCAUUAUAUUCUUAUUCUGUACAUACAGAUGCUAUUAUAAUUUUUUGUUCAUGUUUUCAAUCUACGUUUGUCAUUUCUUCUUUUGUUGUUAAUGAUCUGUAUUUGUCAUUAUUCAAGUCUUAUUUGUUGCACUUUAUUAAUCGUGUACCUGUCAUAGGUAUUCAUGUUUAUAUCAGGCAACCAAAAGUUGCAGAGGUCAGAGUGUCAAAAUGCUCAAAGACAAACUAAUUUUGUUAAAACUCUAAUAGAAAGUUGACAUUUUUAUACUUGUAUUGAUUUUUCAUGUU